rnacentral:rRNA from 1 species
AGUGAACGCUGGCGGCAGGCCUAACACAUGCAAGUCGAGCGGCAGCGCGGGGGCAACCCUGGCGGCGAGCGGCGGACGGGUGAGGAACUCGUCGGAAUCUGCCUUUUUGUGGGGGAUAACGUAGGGAAACUUACGCUAAUACCGCAUACGUCCUACGGGAGAACGUGGGGGACCGCAAGGCCUCACGCAGAAAGAUGAGCCGACGACCGAUUAGCUAGUUGGUGGGGUAAAGGCCCACCAAGGCGACGAUCGGUAGCUGGUCUGAGAGGAUGAUCAGCCACACUGGGACUGAGACAAGGCCCAGACUCCUACGGGAGGCAGCAGUGGGGAAUAUUGGACAAUGGGCGCAAGCCUGAUCCAGCCAUGCCGGGUGUGUGAAGAAGGCCUUCGGGUUGUAAAGCACUUUUGUCCGGAAAGAAAUCCCUGGAGCUAAUACCUUCGGGGGAUGACGGUACCGGAAGAAUAAGCACCGGCUAACUUCGUG